GGCGCGGCGGGCAGCGGGCAGAACUGAUAAAAAACACACCCUGAACCUCCUGCACCACGUGGGAACUGGAAGCCAACCAAGUCCUACAGAACUCAGGGAAAGGGAAACUGGAUCUUCAGGUGCCAGUCUCACACAAAGCCUGGACAGAGGUGCUGACUGCUGUGGAAAAAAGCAGGAAGAUGACAGUGAUGGAUCAGCAUGCAAUUAAACAGCAGGAAGAAGUGAUGUCACAGCAGUAUUUGGGCUGCACAGGAGUCCUGCUUUCAAAUCAAGCAGUAUUUGUCUUGUAACAGGCCCAGCCACAUGACACACAGUUUAUAUCCACGGUUUUCUUCGUGUGAAAAAUGCAGUGGUUUCAUCAACACAGGAGCAUCCAUGUACUUUAAAAUGAACUGCCUGGAGAGAGCAGGACAGAGCCCUUGUCUUCUGCUCACCUUGCCACUGCCAAGCCCCUGAGAGAGGACAUAAUUUACUUUAUACUGUGCUGUGGCAAGGGCCAAGGAGAGGAGUUGGAGAGGAGACAUCCAAACAAAGGUCACCUCUUCCACACCUCAUCAUGGCAUGAACUGUAGACACAAGAAAACCCUCUCCCAUCACACUGCAUGGGAUAAGGUUGCCACCAAGCAUGUUUUAAGCCACAGAGCUUUUAAAAGAUUCAAGCAGUGAUGUGGGAACUUCAUCCCUCAGACUGAACAGGCUGACAGUACACAGUGCUGUGACUGAACACAGCAAAACUCUGACUUACACAUGGAUCUCUUGUACAAGCUCCAUUACUUUCCUUUGCUAAAAGGGAAUUAAAUUAUUUCUUGUUGCUUGGGGCUGAGGAGAUGAAAACCAUUUCACAUUUUGUGUGGAACAAUGAAGCCCUGUUCUCACUUGGCAUCUUAAAUUCUUGCUUUAAUAUAACUUAGGGGAAAAAAAAAGGUUGAGCAUUAAAGAAUGAAAUAAAAAUGCUAAACUUGAUUAUUUAACUUCUCUAUCAGAAGUAAAAGUCAUUUAGAAGGAAAGGUGCUAACCUGACUUGCAUAACUUCAUGUACAAUUUCUCAACCUUUCCCACAUCUGCCACCAGCAGUGCCCUGUAGAUUUCAUCAGUGAAACAGAUCAGUAAGGUACCAUUCCUUUGAAAAUAGCAAAUUUAUAAAUUUUCCUUUUCUUUCAUAAACCCACCAUACCAUCUAAAACCCUGUCUCAUAGCCUGUGACUGUGCAGUACUCAUUUCUAUAAUACAUUUUGACAUCCUGGUUUUAUAAGGGCCUGAAUUCUCAGUUGUUGCCUUGAUGUAAAUCUAUAGGCAAAUCUAUAGGUAAAUCUAUUUUCCUCUGCCAAAUAGGAGUCAGGGUUAUCUGUGUAAAGAUAAGUUGUUCAGUCUUAGAGAAGACUUCAGGGAAAUGCCACCAUUACUCAUUGAAAUUAUUCUUUGCUCUGUGAAUAAAGCCAAUAACAUAAUUGGGAUUAUCUGAAGAGUGAAAUAUGAUUCAAUUUGAGUAAGCAUGGCUGUGUGCAGACAUUAGUGGAAGAGUAAAUUCAGCACCAAAUAAUAAAAUGAGACUUGUGAUCAGC